rnacentral:rRNA from 1 species
AGAACGAACGCUGGCGGCAUGCCUAACACAUGCAAGUCGAACGAACCCUUCGGGGUGAGUGGCGCACGGGUGCGUAACGCGUGGGAACCUGCCCUUAGGUUUGGAAUAACAGUGAGAAAUCGCUGCUAAUACCAAAUAAUGUCUUCGGACCAAAGAUUUAUCGCCUUUGGAUGGGCCCGCGUUGGAUUAGCUAGUUGGUGAGGUAAAGGCUCACCAAGGCGACGAUCCAUAGCUGGUCUUAGAGGAUGAUCAGCCACACUGGGACUGAGACACGGCCC